UACAGAGGGGGCAAGCGUUGUUCGGAAUUACUGGGCGUAAAGCGUGCGCAGGCGGUUAUUUAAGUCAGGUGUGAAAGCCCUGGGCUUAACCUAGGAAUUGCGCUUGAGACUGGAUAGCUUGGAGUGCGGCAGAGGGAGGUGGAAUUCCACGUGUAGCAGUGAAAUGCGUAGAGAUGUGGAGGAACACCGAUGGCGAAGGCAGCCUCCUGGGCCAGCACUGACGCUCAUGCACGAAAGCGUGGGGAGCAAACAGG
rnacentral:rRNA from 1 species